rnacentral:rRNA from 1 species
UCCGGUUGAUCCUGCCGGAGGGUACUGCUAUUUGGAUUCGACUAAAACAUGCAAGUCGAGAGUCUUUGGGACUCGACGAACUGCUCAGUAAUAUGUAGUUAACCUGCCCUAGACACAGGGAUAAUCUCGGGAAACUGAGGCUAAUACCUGAUAGACAUUCUGGUCUGGAAUGAUAGAAUGUUCAAAGCUCAGGCGGUCUAGGAUGGGACUAUAUCUUAUCAGCCUGUUGGGGGUGUAACGGACCCCCAAAGCUAUAACGGGUACGGGCCAUGAGAGUGGAAGCCCGGAGAUGGAUUCUGAGACAUGAAUCCAGGUCCUACGGGACGCAGCAGUUGCGAAACCUUUACAAUGUGUUAACGCACGAUAAGGGAAUCCGAAGUGCUGCAGCUUUGCUGCAGCUUUUGCCAAGUCCAAACAGCUUGGCGAAUAAGGGGUGGGUAAGACAGGUGCCAGCCGCCGCGGUAAUACCUGCGCCCCGAGUAGUACCCGGUAUUAGUUGGCCUAAAGCGUCCGUAGCUGGUCUUGUAAGUUCCUAGUGAAAUUCACUGGUAAACUGGUGAGCGUGCUGGGAAUACUGCGAGACUUGGGACUGGGAGAGGAUAGAGGUACUCCCGGGGAAGGGGUAAAAUCCUAUAAUCCUGGGGGGACCACCUGUGGCGAAGGCGUCUAUCUAGAACAGGUCCGACAGUGAGGGACGAAAGCUAGGGUAGCGAUCGGGAUUAGAUACCCCGGUAGUCCUAGCCGUAAACGAUGCCCACUUGGUGUUAAAAACCUUACGAGGGUUUUUAGUGCCGUAGCGUAGGUGUUAAGUGGGCCGCCUGGGGAGUACGACCUCAAGGUUGAAACUUAAGGGAAUUGGCGGGGGACCACACAAGGAGUGAAGACUGCGGUUCAAUCGGAUCCAACGCCCUGAAUCUUACGGGUAUCGACAGCAGGAUGAAGGUCAGUUUAAAGAGCUUACCUAACAAGCUGAGAAGUGUUGCAUGGCCAUCGUCAGCUCGUACCGUGAGGCGUGCGGUUAAGUCCGUUAACGAGCGAGACCCGCAUCUUAUGUUGCUAAUCCGGUGAGGAAGAACUCAUAAGAGACCGCUGGUGAUAAACCAGAGGAGGGAGCGGGCGACGGUAGGUCGGUAUGGCCUGAAUUUCCCCGGCUACACGCGGUCUGCAAUGCACAAGCCAAUGAGUUGCGACCCCGAAAGGGGAAGCCAAUCUCCUAAACCUGUGCUCAGUUCGGAUCGAGGUUUGUAACUCAGCCUCGUGAAGCUGGAAUUCCUAGUAGACAAACGUCAUCAUCGUUCGUCGAAUACGUCCCUGGUCCUUGCACACACCGCCCGUCAAGCCAUCCGAGUGGGGUCCAAAUGAGGUUUUCUCUUCGUGUGAAUAUCGAAUUUGGGUCCCGCGAGGGGGGCUAAGUCGCAACAAGGUA